AGGGGCGGGGCCGGGCGGGGCGAGCGCUCCAGGCCUCCUCCCGACCCUGCGCCGUGCCCAGCCCCUCUGCCCUCCUGUUACCCCGGGACCUCGGGCCGCCAGCCCCUUCCACGUGCAGGCUCCUGCUGCUCUCGCGGGGGCUUUUCGUGUGUCCCCCGAGAUGUCGAGGAAGCCAGAGUCCAGCUCUCCCACGGGUGGCUGUGAUCCUUCUUCCUGGGGAGUCCUGCUGUCCCUGACUAGGGGCACCUGCCCACCUGUCAGCUGCUCCUCCCUCGGCUGGUCCUCCUGGGCUCUGAUGGCCCCAACAUUUCUAGCUCUUCUCACCCAUAGUGCCCCAAGCUUCAUGCAGCUGCGGCAGGUACUGUGCCCGUCUGCCUGGCUUUUGUGUGUUUGUGUCUUGACUCUAUAACCCGUGCACACGGACUGGGCUGUGGUGUAGUGGGGAUGGCAGGAGCCCUGGGAACAUGCGGGCUGGGCAAGGUGAGGCAGGCUGAUUGCUGUGGCUCCCCCACCACCAGCCCCAGCCACAACAAACUGACAAAGGAAGAGGACAGUGGUACCCUGGAGCCCUGGGGUCAGAGAGAGGAGGACAAAGCAGGUGUGUAGCCCAGGGAAUGACAGCACCCCUUCCGAGAAGACAGGGAGGGUGCAGACAUGGCCAGGUUCUGAGCUAGAAAACUGUCAGCAGGGGGCUGAAGCUGAGGAUAGUCAUUGCCAAGGAACAGCCUCCGUCACAGAGGAGACGCACAGAUGCGGUGACGAGGGAGGGAUGCGGGGCUGGUGACCGCUGGGAACGGAUGUGUGAGGCAGAGUCUCCAGGCAUGGUCUGUGGGGCGGUUUGAUGAUACUAGAACAUCUCAGAGUAGAAGGACGUCCCGACCUGCAGACUGGAAAGCCCCCAGAGCUCCCGGCAGGACGUAUGAGGGCCAGCCCACACCCAGGUCUGUCCUGAUACAACUGAACGCCACAGUGUCUUAGCUCCUUUACUGUUGCUAUCAAGAAACACCUGAGGCUGGGAAAUUUAUGAAGAAUCAUGAGGUAAUUUGUAUAUUUGUCCACACUAAACCUCAUGUUGAAUUGUAAACCCCAAGGCUGGAGGUGGCUGGGUCAUGGGGGUGGAUUUCUCAGGAAUGUUUAGUACCAUCCCCUUGGUGCUGUCCUUGAGAUAGUGAGUUCUCCUGAGAUCUGGUUAUUUAAAAAGUGUGGGGCACCUCUCUCUCUCGCUCACUCGCUCGCUCGCUCCUGCUCUGGCCAUGUGACGUGCCCGCUCCCCCAUUGCCUUUCACCAUGAUUGGAAGCUUCCGGAGGCCUCCCCAGAAGCUGAGCAGAGGCCAGCACCAUGCCUCCUGUAAAGCCUGCAGAACCAGGAGCCAAGUAAACCUCUUUUCAUUAUUUAUUUAUUUAUUUAUUUAUUUAUUUUGACACAGGGUCUCGCUCUGUUGCCCAGGCUGGAGUGCAGUGGCGUGAUCUCGGCUCACUGCAACCUCUGCCUCCUGGGCUCAGGUGAUCCUCCCACCUCACCCUCCUGAGUAGCUGGGACUACAGG
ensembl:lncRNA novel transcript